rnacentral:rRNA from 1 species
AUUGAACGCUGGCGGCAGGCCUAACACAUGCAAGUCGAACGAGUGGCGGACGGGUGAGUAAUGUCUGGGAAACUGCCUGAUGGAGGGGGAUACCUACUGGAAACGGUAGCUAAUACCGCAUACCAUCGGAUGUGCCCAGUUGGGAUUAGCUAGUAGGUGGGGUAAAGGCGCACCUAGGCGACGAUCCCUAGCUGGUCUGAGAGGAUGACCAGCAACACUGGAACUGGUACACGGGCCAGAUUCCUACGUGAGGCGACCGUGGGGAAUAUUGCACAAUGGGCGCAAGCCUGAUGCAGCCCUGCCGCGUGUAUGAAGGAGGCCUUCGGGUUGUAAAGUACUUUCAGCGGGGAGGCGUUACCCGCAGAAGAAGAACCGGCUAACUCCGUGCCAGCAGCCGCGGUAAUUC